GCGUUUAGAGUUUGAUCAUGGCUCAGAUUGAACGCUGGCGGCAGGCCUAACACAUGCAAGUCGGACGGUAGCACAGAGGAGCUUGCUCCUCGGGUGACGAGUGGCGGACGGGUGAGUAAUGUCUGGGGAUCUGCCCGAUAGAGGGGGAUAACCACUGGAAACGGUGGCUAAUACCGCAUAACGUCGCAAGACCAAAGAGGGGGACCUUCGGGCCUCUCACUAUCAGAUGAACCCAGAUGGGAUUAGCUAGUAGGCGGGGUAACGGCCCACCUAGGCGACGAUCCCUAGCUGGUCUGAGAGGAUGACCAGCCACACUGGAACUGAGACACGGUCCAGACUCCUACGGGAGGCAGCAGUGGGGAAUAUUGCACAAUGGGCGCAAGCCUGAUGCAGCCAUGCCGCGUGUAUGAAGAAGGCCUUCGGGUUGUAAAGUACUUUCAGCGGGGAGGAAGGCAGUGAGGUUAAUAACCUUACUGAUUGACGUUACCCGCAGAAGAAGCACCGGCUAACUCCGUGCCAGCAGCCGCGGUAAUACGGAGGGUGCAAGCGUUAAUCGGAAUUACUGGGCGUAAAGCGCACGCAGGCGGUCUGUUAAGUCAGAUGUGAAAUCCCCGGGCUUAACCUGGGAACUGCAUUUGAAACUGGCAGGCUUGAGUCUCGUAGAGGGGGGUAGAAUUCCAGGUGUAGCGGUGAAAUGCGUAGAGAUCUGGAGGAAUACCGGUGGCGAAGGCGGCCCCCUGGACGAAGACUGACGCUCAGGUGCGAAAGCGUGGGGGAGCAAACAGGAUUAGAUACCCUGGUAGUCCACGCCGUAAACGAUGUCG
rnacentral:rRNA from 1 species